CAGUCGCCGCGGUAACACGGAGGGUGCAAGCGUUAUCCGGAUUUAUUGGGUUUAAAGGGUCCGUAGGCGGACUUAUAAGUCAGUGGUGAAAGCCUGUCGCUUAACGAUAGAACUGCCAUUGAUACUGUAAGUCUUGAGUAUAUUUGAGGUAGCUGGAAUAAGUAGUGUAGCGGUGAAAUGCAUAGAUAUUACUUAGAACACCAAUUGCGAAGGCAGGUUACCAAGAUAUAACUGACGCUGAGGGACGAAAGCGUGGGUAGCGAACAGGAUUAGAUACCCCAGUAGUCCCUGUCUCUUAUAA
rnacentral:rRNA from 1 species